GGAGUCUGGGCCGUGUCUCAGUCCCAAUGUGGCCGUCCGGCCUCUCAGCCCGGCUACUGAUCGUCGCUUUGGUGGGCCGUUACCCCGCCAACUGGCUAAUCAGACGCGGGCCCAUCCCGUACCACCGGAGUUUUUCACACUGUCUGAUGCCAGACCGUGCGCUUAUGCGGUAUUAUCAGUCGUUUCCAACUGCUAUCCCCCGGUACGGGGCAGGUUGCCCACGCGUUACUCACCCGUCCGCCACUCAGUCAACAAGUCGUCACCCCGAAGGGAUCGUAACAAGUUGCUUCGUUCGACUUGCAUGUGUUAAGCACGCCGCCAGCGUUCAUC
rnacentral:rRNA from 1 species